AUCCCAUCAGCUGCUGUGCAGGCUAAUUCAGUGCACGGCUUUACCCCUUUUCUACCUGCAGCUCCACGGGCUGCAGCGCUGUCUCCGACUUUCCUGGGGUGCUGUAAGCUCUGCUCCUCCUGCCCUGGGCGAGGUGGGGCUCUGAAUUGCUGUGUGCCGUUGGUUUUCUCACGGUUCCUGAGCCCUGCAGGGACACUGCUGCUUCACCCAGGUUCCUGGGGCAGGAAAGAGGUGGGUGUGGGUUUUGCUCUGUGCACCAGUCACUAUUUGGAUAGCAUAAACACUUGCCUGUGUUCUCGCCUUCCUUCUUUAACCCUUUGCUUCUCGCAGGAAAUAAUUUUGAUGCUGUUUCUGGAUUGUGCUUGGGAAAAGAGGAAAAAAAAAAAAGAAAAUAAGCAAGAUGGGGACAGCCAGGAUGUCAUUGCACAGACAGAAAUAACAGAGAUGUGCUGCAGCCUGGGAAAGCCAAAGUCUCUCUGUGAUCCCACCCAUGGUCCCUCUGUGACGCUGAAUCACCACCCUCACCUCCAUGGGCUGCUCCUCCUUCCCUGCAAGGAACUCUUUCAGCUCUGCUGAUGUGAGACUGAUUUUCCUGUUCUGCCAUGAAGGAUCGGGGCAAGAGUUACCCAUCUUGUGAGAUAAAGAGACUUCCAGGGAAAGAAUAGAGAAAGCAGGAGGGAAAGCAACAAGAUGUGCAAAGCAAAUCCCUGCUGUGCUUGGUUGUGCAGCCUGGGACAUCCCUCAGACUGAAACUUGGCCUCAGGACCCAAAAGCAGCCACUGUUAUUGCCUGAGCUCAGAUCUGUUAGAAUUGCUCCACAGGUACAGGAGGCACCAGGCUCGGGCAGGACUCCUGCUUUGCUCCAGGUAUGGCAGCACUGAGCUGCUCAAGCAGAGCUCAGCUGUGCCCACCUCACAGCUCUGCGACAGCUGGGAUCCCAGCCAGGACCUGCAGCACUGGCAGAAGCAUUCAGGACCAGUUGUGGUGUUUGCCCACUCAGUGUGAGAUUUCCAAGGCUCAGGAGGCUGCACCAGAAACUGGAAGAGCAUCACUGAGGCCUGGAUGGAUGGAGGACACUCAGUGCAAAAAGCCAUCACAUGGCUUGGGUUGGAAAGCACCUUCAUGCCCAUAUCAUUCCACCCCUGCUGUGGACUGGCUGCUCCCACCAGUUCAGGCUGCCCAGAGUCCCAUCCGUGGCCUUCAGCACCUUUGGGGAUGGGGCACCCACAGCUCUGAGCAAAACACCAAAAAGGGGCUGAGUACCAUCCUGCAUAGAGAACAACUUCUGUCGCAGUGAGAUUGCAUCUGCAAGGAGACGCAGCUGUGGGAAGGAUACAAAUGAGGGUUAUGUGAUAGAGGAGCACAAAGCAGGGAAGGAAAAUAGGGGAUGAGUCACUGCUCCUCACAUGGCACUCAUGCUCUCCCUGACCCCCAGCUCCCACAGUGGGGAUGCCCUGGAGCAGGGGUGUGUGAGUGCUGUAGGGCCAUGGUCUGCAGGUGCCGUGCAUACACUGAAGCUGUUCUGCAUGCACCGGGCCUGCAUGGAGCAGGGUUUCUGGGUACAGGAUACCAUGUGUCCUGGAGGAGCGUGCCACGUGGGACUGGGAUGCCACAGCGGUGCCUCUGCUUGGGGAAACCAAGAUAGGGGAGCUCUGUUGUGCUCCAGCAUGGGGUGGUGGCACCACCGGGUCAUUUGUGCUGUUGUGAGGUGUGGAUGAGGCUCGGUGUGCUCUGCAGUGUGAUCUCUGGGCUGUUUAAUGAGCCCAAAUUGGGCUUUUGGAGAUGACCUGGGGCAGUGGAGCAUUUUGGGGGAAGCCUGGGAUCUGUGGGGAACACAUCCCACAGGCCUGAGAAUGCUCUGAACACAACAUUGUGUAUCCACAAGAUUCCCUGCUGCAACGCUAUGGAAAGCCCAGCAAUGACAGCAGAACAGCAAGAUCCUAGAGCUGCAGCAAGGGAGGAUUUGCUCAAAUGCAACAGCUGCAGGCACAGAAAUAAAGGAAAACAGCUGCUUACCUUCAGAAGGCCUCAGAUAUGCAGGGAUCUCCAGUGAAAUACCCUCAUCUCUACUGCCAACCCUUAAAUGAGUUCUGGGAAGGGAUGCAUCCUGGCUCCACUCCGUACAGUCAAUCAGCUGCACUGCACGCACCUGAGCUCCCCUGGGUUGGCCCUGCCUUCCCACCAGUGCUCCAUCUCUGCUUCAAUCCAUGACUUAGCAUUGCCACUACACCUGCCUGAAAAUGAGCUGCUUUUGUGUGCUUGUAUGAAGGAUACUGGUCCCAAAUGGAAGCAUUUUCAAGAUUCUUGGUAUUCACUUUAUACGCUUCAAAUGGAUGGAGAGAGACCCAAACACUGGGUAAUGCAUCAUGUAGAAGACUAUUUGCUCUUGUAGCCUGUAACCUAUAUGACUGGACUCAGCUGUGCCUGCAGGUGCUGUUUGUACCUGAAAAAGCUGUGGAACGGACACCAUCACUACAUGUGGUACUGACAAUUAAUCCUCUCAAGGAGUUCUGGAUACGUUGCUUCAGAAGGGCUUUUAUAAGGCAAUUACUGAGGCACUCCAUCCAAAACCAACUGGAAACGUGCCUGCUGCACUAUGGCCUAGAAGCAGCUUGAGUAAGGAAUGAUGGUGGUUGCCAAUGCAAUUUUGGUUUCUAAGUGUUGGUGUGUGAGAUCCAUCCGAGACUGAUUAAGAAGUUUGGGUUUCGGGGCUUUGCCUUUGAGCUGCAUCCCCUGCUGUCCUCCCACCCCUCAGAGGUCUCGGCACAGGGUGCUUCCAGAGAGCAGCUCUGAGCACGGCAGGAUGUCCUCCCCUUUUCCUGAGCAUGGAUUUGCAGGAUGUGCCAAGCCUGUCUGAUAGCUACGAAUCCUCUUGUAAGAUACUGGUCAGGGCUGAGCAUCAUUCCUAAGCCGUGCCACGAGUAAACAAACUAAACACACUUUGUAGCUGAGAUCACGUUCCCUUUGGCAGGUUUCCUCUUUGAAGAGCCAUCUUACGGAGAUCAAGAGAGUGCUGCUUCCUGGCUGGCUCAGCAUGGAGAGCACUGUGUCUUCUGUGCAUCCCUUAAUCCCCAAACCAGGUUACAGCUGCUGCAGGAUGCAAAGCAGAGACCAAACUCUUCAGUGCUGCUGACAGCAGUUCCUUGGAGCAGGCUGGGAAAUCCCCAGAGCAGCCUUGAAUUUGCUCCUGAUUAGCAUGAAGAAUCCACACAUCUCCGUGUGCCUGGGGACUAAAGGUGAUGUUUGUGUGUGAAACUCCAGUGAACUGGAGACCAAUAAGGAAUGGGUGCUAAAUGACACAGAGACACCAGCAUAGAAAAGUGCUUGUGAUGCAUUUGGGGUGAAAUAAUCUUAGCAUAUGCAAAUGAUGGCCUUGGAGUGACCACAACUGCUUGGAGGGAACUCCAGGGUCCCAUCCCAGUGACACCCAAGUGGUGAAAUCAACAGAUAGACCUCCAUAGUCUAUCUAUGUAUCUAUCACAGUCUAUCUAUAUAUAUCUAUCCAUAGUGGUAACUGAUGGUGACUCCCCAAGAAAGCUCACGGCCAGAGAACCAAAAUAAAUCCAUGUGCAACAAUUGGCUUGAAGAAAUUCCAGCAACUUUUAUUGAUUCCAGCUUUUCCAAUGAAGCAAAUACAUACAGUACAGCCAAAACAAAACUCUGAUAUGUUAUUCUCACAUACCUAUAUCUUACAGAAUACACUGUAUAGCUAUGGACUGGCAGGCUCGGGUGGUCUCAAACUGCUGUGUGGUCAGAGAGGAAUAAAACUGCCUUCUGCCUUUCAUGCAGUCCAUGAGGCUUCUGAAAUGCUGGGGUGGGUUGGAUUGUACAUACACGAAACAAAUAAAGCAUUUAAGAGAAAACAGGCCAAAAAGCUCUGCUAAGCCCAGGACAAACAAGCGUGGUAUUUAUUUACAUGGUUGUGUGUCCUGCGCACAAAUCAAGCCCCAAUUGCUCUUAUUCUGCUGCUGGCAGAGAUCAGGGUGCUGCUCGCUGUGGUCCUUCCCUCUUCAGUAGUUCUCCAUCACUCCAACCCAUGCCCUGCAGACCUGCCCCAGCUGUAUCCCUGCAGAUCCACCCUGCCUUGCCUUUUACACAGGGAAAAAACAGGAAAACAGCUCAGCAAGGAGCAUAUCUCAGCUAAAGAUCUGCCUCUAUGAAGCAAUGUCUCCCUUGAAGGAAGAAGAUUGGUGGAAAAAAGUGAAAGCAGCAUCCCGGUGCUGAGCUCUGCCCUUGGGAGAAGCGUGGUUUGGAAAAGAAGGUCCCCAGACUGCUGGGUAUGAGCAACAGCAGAGGUUUUCCUUACACUGCCAGACAUCAGCGUCACUUCACCUACGUGGGUAGAGUCUGUAGUCCAGAUUUAACACAGAGAGACUGAGAGGGAAAUAGAGAUGAGUAUCAGAGAGUUUCCUCGGGGGGAAAAAGAGCUGCAAAGAGCCCAAGGGUGUCAGAGGGGCCGCAGCUCAGCCCUGCUCUCCUGGGUCAGCUGUAUUCUGAGGUAUGAGAGCAGCAACCUGCAGCACUGUAGGGAAACUGAGGCUGGAGGGAGCUCCCAGCUCAGGGCAGGGAGAGCAUCCAGGGCUGUGUGCAGCCAAGAGCUGAAGAUCAGCUUCACUGCAGGACAGUUGGAGCAGAUGACCUUCAAAGGUCCCUCCCAGCUCCAGCAAUUCCAUGAUUCUAUAUGAGAUCUCCAAGGAUGGAGACAGUUUUAAUUUGUGUUGUUUGGUCAGCUUUGCUGUACGUCACUGACACUGAUGUGAAUGAUGCAUCCAAUCCUCUGAGCUCAGUACUUUGUAACGAAACCUCCAGGACUUGUAAAUUUAAUUGUGGGAUGAUUACUGCAGCUCUUUGUGCCUAACACAGUGCUGCUGUAAAUUGCGUUACCGGUGAAAGCAGCAGCACUGCUUUAGAAUAAAGCUCAAAUAGCAGUCAAUUAGAAUGAAUUUCCUCAAUAUUCCAUCAUUACAUUUUGCAGUUAGCUUUCCCAAUUAAUUUUACAGGGAAAAACAUUAGCUCCCAGGACUUCUGCCUAACGUGUAAUUACAGGAACAAAUCUGAAUGCAAAAUUGCACGCAGCGUAAUCCUAAAGCCAAACUGCAACAACCCUUCCUGCGGACACUGCAGCCUUUCUGGACGUCCAUAGACUUGGGUCCUGCCAAAAACAUUCUGAACCAUGAAAUGAGGGCAUGCACCAGCUAUGCAACAGCUGGCAGCCGUGGUGAGGGCAUGCCCACAGGCCUGGGCUCCUCCGCUGCUGUUUAAAUGCUCCUGAAACUGUCCUACCGGAUUCGCCUGGUUCCAGCUCUCCACUUCAAAGGUGCUUUUUGCUCUUUCAUUUGGCUGGGAGCUCCGCACAGAAAGCUCUCGACUGAACGUGGGUGAAUGCAAGCAAAUAGCUGUUGCUCAUUAAAGUGCACAAGGCUGAGCCACCCUUUGUAGGCCAAAAGAGAAGCGGCUGGGGCUCCUCUCACUCUGCGCCCUGCGCUCUGAGUGGGGAUGAUGCUGCCCAGAGCAGAGCUGAAGUCAGCCCUGCCAGGUCAAUGGGAUGUGCCAACUGUCACCAAGCGAGGAGCUGAACCCUCCUGAACCCUGCAAACACGAGACUGCUUCUCCCUGCCCAGACUCAGCUCUGUAACCCAUCCUUCCCAAUCGCCUCCUGCACCCUCCACAUCUGCACAUCUCUGUGCCCCUGCAGUGCAUCCUCUGCUGAUCCUCCCCCUGUGCCUCCGAGCUCGCAUUUCUCACAUGCUUUUCCAUUUUUGCUAUUUCUUUACAUUGCUUGGUACAAACAAAGCCUGAUGACGAAGGCCACAUCCCUCACUCUUGGCACUCAGUGAUGCUGGGCAAAGCCAGCUCCUCCUCCUGGCUCCAGCUUCCCAAAAGUUGUAUUUCUCCACACAUGGUCCCAUGGUUGCACUGUUCCAGUGCCAGGUGAUUGAUUUGGCACCUGGUGAGACCGUGCUCUGUGUUAGCACUGUCCAUACAGCUUCAGAGAGCAGUUGCUGAGUGCCAGGGGAGAAUCAGCAGCCAACAAUUUGCUUCUGGAGAUAAAGAGUUUAGGUGACAGGAGAGGAAAUACUAAUAACUAUGAGAGCUCAUAGGAGAAGAAAAAUCAGAAGCAGGAAAGAAGCCCAUGUUCGUAAAUGUUAGGAAGAAGCAGCCUUUUUAAAGAAGAGUUUUGUGUGUAUCUGUUGAUAACAGCCAUAUGCAACGUGGGGACGACAUCAAACCGGCAAUUUUUGCACUUCUGGGUGAAAAUGGGUUGUGACAAGAAUUUGGUGCGGCAGCAUUUGUUGCAUGGAUCGGGUGGGAUUUGCCUUACGUGCGAGGGGCUGAAACUGCACAGCUGACACUGAGUUUUGGUGGGGACUCAGCCCUGCUCGCCAGGUGUGAGCGUUGGCCGCAUGCACACCACAGCAACGUGGGCACAGUUACACAGAAACACUCUUUGCAAAAAAAUACAAAUAUUGACAUCAAGAAACUAUAACCUCCAUGAAA